rnacentral:tRNA from 1 species
UACAGUAUGGCAUAGUGGUUUGAGUGUUGGACUACAACUCUAGAGACCAGGGUUCGAUUCCCAGGUCAGCCA